rnacentral:misc_RNA from 1 species
GAUGAAGAACGCAGCGAAAUGCGAUAAGUAAUGUGAAUUGCAGAAUUCAGUGAAUCAUCAAAUCUUUGAACGCACAUUGCGCCCCCUGGUAUUCCGGGGGGCAUGCCUGUCCGAGCGUCAUUACAACCCUCAAGCUCAGCUUGGUGUUGGGCCCCGCCGCCCCGGCGGGCCCUAAAGUCAGUGGCGGUGCCGUCCGGCUCCGAGCGUAGUAAUUCUUCUCGCUCUGGAGGUCCGGUCGUGUGCUCGCCAGCAACCCCCAAUUUUUUUCAGGUUGACCUCGGAUCAGGUAGGGAUACCCGCUGAACUUAAGCAUAUCAAUAAGCGGAGGA